GGAGGGAUCAUUACCGAGUUUACAACUCCCAAACCCCUGUGAACAUACCAAUUGUUGCCUCGGCGGAUCAGCCCGCUCCCGGUAAAACGGGACGGCCCGCCAGAGGACCCCUAAACUCUGUUUCUAUAUGUAACUUCUGAGUAAAACCAUAAAUAAAUCAAAACUUUCAACAACGGAUCUCUUGGUUCUGGCAUCGAUGAAGAACGCAGCAAAAUGCGAUAAGUAAUGUGAAUUGCAGAAUUCAGUGAAUCAUCGAAUCUUUGAACGCACAUUGCGCCCGCCAGUAUUCUGGCGGGCAUGCCUGUUCGAGCGUCAUUUCAACCCUCAAGCCCCCGGGUUUGGUGUUGGGGAUCGGCGAGCCCUUGCGGCAAGCCGGCCCCGAAAUCUAGUGGCGGUCUCGCUGCAGCUUCCAUUGCGUAGUAGUAAAACCCUCGCAACUGGUACGCGGCGCGGCCAAGCCGUUAAACCCCCAACUUCUGAAUGUUGACCUCGGAUCAGGUAGGAAUACCCGCUGAACUUAAGCAUAU
rnacentral:rRNA from 1 species